GUGCUUCUUUUAGCUGCGAGUAUACUGAAAUUGGAAAAAUACAGAGAUUAGCAUGGCAUCUAUACAAGGAUGAUAGGCAAGUUCACAGAGUAUUCAAUUUUGUUU
ensembl:snRNA U6 U6 spliceosomal RNA